AUCAUUCCAUGCCUUUGUAAAGGAAGUGGGAAGAGAGCCUGUGUUGUAACCUUGUUUUAGUGGUGGAUUGCCCUUUUUCCCAGAUCCUGAAAAGCAUUUGGCUAAGUUGCCAUAGGGAUUGUCCACUGCACAUCCCAUCCUCUACUGAGCAAGUUGCUGUUGGAUUUUAGCUGUGCUGGGAGUGCAUGACUGAUGCCAUUACGGUUCAUAGCAUGGAGCUGCUUUGGAACAUGACUGAAUUGCUGUGGAUUUGCAAAGAUGAGUUCACAGAGAAGAUUAAGAUAAACAGUGGAGGCUAAUAAUGAGAGCCAGGAAGGAUGGUGAGGGGAAAUCACACAGAAAGAAUUGGCACCUUUUUUCCCCCCACCUUAUCUCUGUUACAUCUUGUGAUGGCACAAAGAUAUGCAAGAGACAUAGCACUAGCUGGUCAAAGGCGAGGCUGGCUGCAUCCCCCGACAGGCAUGCUCGUGGUGGUUUCACUCUGCUGACCAGUGCCACUACAAACUGUCAACUCCAUCUCCUACCUCCCAAAAAAAGAAGGGAGUUGCUGCUCUCUCUGUCUCAGGCCAGCUCAGGAAGCAGUGUGUCAGACCCAGCUGAAUCCUCUUCUCUUACCACCUCAUGAAACCAACCCAGGAACAAGUGGCUUCAUCUGCAGAGGCCCUGUCACUUCCACGAGUGAUGAUGAUCCUCAUUGUGGAUGCACUCAGGAUUGAGAUCAGGGAAUUCUGAGGCCACAGCCAUGAAACUCUCCAGCUGAAACUGAAGACAGCUGCCAUUGGACUUGUAUCCUCUGCAGAAGGAAGGCAUUCCUGUCUGACCAAGUAAUCUGAAAUGACCAGAGGAUCCAUCCUGGCAUGGAAGUGCUCUGAAGGUAGGAAGGUAUGGUUUCAAUUAAUAUUCAACUUUGGCAGAGUCAAAAUGUUUCACAAAAACGCACUAAUUUUGAUAGAAUUCAACAAUUUUGGUUUUGGCCUGGGAGAAAUAUGGCAUGAAAACCUGUGGGAUUUUUUAAAAGAAUACUACUCAAUUUUUAAAAUGUUUGAAAAGAUUUUGGUUUCACUUUAUCGUGAAACAAAAGCAAUGCUGGGGAUUCAGAAAUAGUGUAGAAUCAAAUUUGGGAUUCACUGGCUAUUUCCUUGAAAUAUAAACAUGCAAACAAAAGAACCUAUCUGUUACAUUGGUAUUAUUGCUGUCUUCCAAGCUCUUCCACUCUGGAAGUGUGACUGAGCUGUAAUGCUUUAAAAGGUAAUAAAGAGUUGGGAAUAAGAUUUCUGUGUGGCCCCUGUGCCAGCAUCAGAGAAAAGAUCCAAUGCAGCUAAUCUGUUCAAGUUUAAUGAACGUCCUGCUGACUUUUAAGGGAGCUGGCUGCCUGACUACCCUCUGAGACUUUAAAAAUCUCCUCCUAUUUUUGUAGAAUUUUGUCAGGAAACCAGAUUGAGCGAGACCAUAUAGAAAAUGCUAUUGCCAUUCCUACAGGUUUCCACAAGAUAUUUGACCCCUCCCCUCCCUUUCUUUCUUCUUUUUAUACCUCUCUGGAAUGCAGAUAUUUUGGUUAAUUUUCUCCAGCUGUCACAGAGUCUCACAGGAAAAUGACCUCACAGAGUGACCAGUUCCCCAUUCCUUGACUUAAGUAGAUUUUUUUUCUUCAGAGCUUUCACCACAUUAUUCACAUCACUGCCUGGUGUGUUUCACAAGUCAGGAAAAAAGCAAAAAAUAAUUUCCACCCCCUAGAAAAAAAAAGGGGAACCCAAUCAGAUCAGUUUGGGUCCAUUUUAUCAAUUUACAUUGGUAUUUCAGAUAAGUCAGUGCAGCAGAAAUUUAACAUUACCCAUUCCUACUAAAAGGUAGGGAGAUAUUAAUAUUUGGAUAUUUUUCUUCAAAGAAUGAUUUUUAUUACAAAAUUCCUUCAUUCAUUUAGUAAUGACAGUAGUCUCAGAAAGCUGGAGAGUCAGACCUCUUAAUUCUUUUGUUCUUUUCAAUAUACAACUCAGAGGGGAAUUUUUUUUUUUAAUUUAGUUUUCUGAAAUAUUAUUAUGUGGGGAAAAAAACAAAGAGGAAAUCCCUGUAUGGUAAAUAUUUAUGGUUCAUGAAAUAUGUGAACGUGUGCAUGAGAUGCAUAUGUCUCAAAAGCUAAUGGUUUAUAAAGUACCAAGGACCUGUUGUUAAGAAUGACUUUCUUCUUCCUUCAAGUUCCUCCUCUGUUUUUGGGAAUACCUGGUUGGAGCUUGUAAAAUACCAAGGACUUCCAAGCACAACUUUUCUGUACUGUAACACCUCUUCAUAUCCUCUAUCUCAUGUUUUGGAUGAGUAUCCCAAAAUCUUGGUGUUUUCUGUAGCAGUCUGAGAAUUUUCCUCCAGGAAAUUGUAAUGAACAUGUUCCUUUUGAAUGUCCUUGUGUUUACAUGAGUGCUUCAUCAAGACUGCCCAAGGGGAGUAGGUUGUAGCUGUGCCUUAUUUCUCUAAUCUUCCAAAACUGGUAUUACCACGUUAUUUUUGUAACAUAGAUUUUGCAAUUGUUUAAUUUCAGAAUUUUGGGAAUGAUUGCUUGGUACAAGCCACAGAAAUUUAGAUGUUUUAUAAGGAAAUUUAAGAUAGAUUUUCAUGGGCUGUGGUAUUAAGUAGGUCAUCUGGUAUAAGUAUAUGCCUGAUAAAGGUCUACAAGCAAGUUACUCUUGUGUCACCGACAUAGUUUAUGAAAAAUCCUUUACUUAGGAAUUUUCCUCUCCUGAGAGCUGAGAGGACUCGGUACAAACUGUAAACAAUUCUUAUCUGCUGCUGUGGAAUGCAAUGGGGAGAAAUCUGUGAUUGGCCCCGUCAGACUGUUUGCAAUUAAGAGCCUAUCACAAUUCACCUGUUCGGCCCGUCUCGGGCUGAGAAGACUUCAGUUUACACAUUCUUUGCUAUUCUUAGGAUAGCCUUGGUAGUGAAAUCUCUAGCUUUAUUCUUUUAGUAUAGUUUUUAUAUCUUAUAUAUCAUAUCAUAAUAAAUCAAGCCUUCUGAUGCAUGGAGUCAACUGUCUCGUCUCUUCCCUCAUCCUGGGACCCCAGAAAACCAUGU